rnacentral:rRNA from 1 species
AUGAUGACUCAAGAUAAUACUAAAUUGUGUGACUUUGCCAAUACCAACAACAAUGAUUUUCUUAGCACUCUGAUUGCUCCUCUUACCAAUGCCGAAUCUUGUGAAAUUAAUGUUGCUUUGUUGAAUCUUGUCAUGAAAGAUCAAUUCGCUGACCUUCCUAGUGAAGAUGCCGCUACCCAUCUAAACAACUUUGUUGAUUUGUGUGAUAUGCAAAAGAAGAAAUAUGUGGAUAAUGAUAUUGUUAAAUUGAAGUUAUUUCCAUUUUCGCUUAGAGAACAUGCUAAAGCUUGGUUUUCGUCUUUGCCUAAAAAUAGUAUUGAUUCAUGGAAUAAGUGA